CAGAUUUCAUCUGUCAAGGAAUUGAUUCCAUUUAAUUAAUUUUUUAAUGCAACAGAUAAAAAAAUAAAGUCCUGGACAUUUUUAUAUCUUAUGGUUUCAGAAACACUUUGACUAUCAUUCCCGAAGUGCCAGAGUUUGAGCAAACAACACAUAAGUGCUUUGCUGAUUAUUCUUUGCAGAGAUCUUUUACAGUUCCUGUUACCUCAGUUGGUAAGAUGCGGAUGGGAUGCACUAGAGCACUACCGACCACUGGGUAUGAGGAAGUGGAUGCCAAAUGCUGCAGAGGAGGCUGUUGUGCAUCAGAAGCAGGG
rnacentral:lncRNA from 1 species